rnacentral:rRNA from 1 species
UUUAUUAGGGAAGAACCAUAUGUGUAAGUAACUGUGCACAUCUUGACGGUACCUAAUCAGAAAGCCACGGCUAACUACGUGCCAGCAGCCGCGGUAAUACGUAGGUGGCAAGCGUUAUCCGGAAUUAUUGGGCGUAAAGCGCGCGUAGGCGGUUUUUUAAGUCUGAUGUGAAAGCCCACGGCUCAACCGUGGAGGGUCAUUGGAAACUGGAAAACUUGAGUGCAGAAGAGGAAAGUGGAAUUCCAUGUGUAGCGGUGAAAUGCGCAGAGAUAUGGAGGAACACCAGUGGCGAAGGCGACUUUCUGGUCUGUAACUGACGCUGAUGUGCGAAAGCGUGGGGAUCAAACAGGAUUAGAUACCCUGGUAGUCCACGCCGUAAACGAUGAGUGCUAAGUGUUAGGGGGUUUCCGCCCCUUAGUGCUGCAGCUAACGCAUUAAGCACUCCGCCUGGGGAGUACGACCGCAAGGUGAAACUCAAAGGAAUUGACGGC